UCUGGUUGGAUGUGAAAAGCUGUUCCUGAACCCUGGCCCGCUUAUCGUAGGGGCAAAGGGGCUUUAUUUUUGUGUGUCCAAUUCGUGCACUGCAGCACAAUGGCUCUCAAUCGCAUCAGGGGGGUUUUCGGCAGGUUUCGCUGCUCUAGCGCUGAACAAAUUCAGAGGGGGGAAAAAGAGCGACGGGCCUCCCUCCCCCAUUAAUUAUUUGUGGGGCUGGAGUAAGACGGGCUGGUGCAACCGGUGCAUAUAAGGACUUAUGUGCAGGGAAGGGGAUCCGCCUCCAGGCGCGGAACGAAUGGGGGAGAAGCGCACUCCGCACUCCAGAGGUUUGCUUCGGCGGCGGGGUCCGUCCCCUAGCGACCCCCGGGAUCCCGGAAGGCGGGUGUCGCUGGCGGGUCGCUUGCCGGUCGGGGGCUGGGAAGGUUUGCCAGAAGCGGGAAGACGGAGAUCUGAGUUCCCGGUUGGCAUCGCCACACCCAGGACCUGCCCGUACUGCAAUUCCCCACGGAAACGACCGAAUUGAAACGAGAAGCUUUUUCUCUGGGUGCAAGAGCUUGAGUGCUUCAGAUGAACCACUCUAUGGACAAACCAAAAAUGGCACCAAGAGCUGUGGGAAAAGAAGCAUUCCCAUUUUCCAUUCUGGAUUUGGUAUCACCUCCUGUCUUCCUAGAUUCUCUGCUGGGAUGCUUCACAAUAGUGAAUUGCCCAGAGACCUCUGGUCAACAAGGUCACCCAACGACCUAGACUGGCAAGAGGCUGUAUCUCAACUCAUGCUUUCAUGAUCAUCCAGGGUGAGAGGAGAAAAGAAAAAGAAAUUAAAUUGGAAUAGCAGCCGGCUUUCAACUCCAGGAGAGCUGAUCAUAUGAUGAAGCCAGGGGCAUCUCAUCAAGAAAGUCCAAAUUUGAUGAAGCAAUUUUGUUCUGGAAGGCUUUGACUCGUCAGCCCUGCAAUGAACCCAUUAGAAGGUCAUCAAGAUGGGUCGACAGAAGUGGAAUCCAUGUAUUAAUAAUCAUGGUAGUAAUAAUUAUGAUACCACGCCCCAUAUCAGUCCGUGCCUGUGAGACAAGGCUGGGCCCCUUCCUGUGCUGAGAGGAGCCAGAGAACAUUUUCCAAGGACGCCGAAGACUUGCUGUGUUGUCCCAAUUGCCCUUCCUUUCAGCCUACUUCAAAUGGACCUGUGUCCCUUAUGCUGUCAUUCCCGGGGAACGGCAUCCAUUGAAAAUCAUUUUGCAUCCAAGAUGAUGACAGCUCUUACUGGGGCCUUUUCCCCUUCCUUUCUUAGAAGAGGCGAGACCAACCCAUCUGGGAAGUUCUCGCUGAGAUCUGGAAGAAAAUGCAGGAAGCUCAGAUAACUUGAAGAUGGUUUGGAAUGCACUGUGAUAGGGUGGGUUGUCCUAAAUGCAUUCAAAGGCCUUCUGAGCAGUUAUUGGUUAUAAUUUAUAACGAAAGAAUUUUCUGCUGAAUUGACCAAGACUAGCAAGAUACUUCUAAAUUUGUACACCUGGGAACUCCUAUGACUUUCUCUGGUAAGUCUUGAGUUUUCCUCUAGGGAAAUCAUUCUGCUUCUCUCCUCCUCUCCUCUCGGAAGGUCAGCCGUGUAGAAAUUGCCUGCAGCCACCGUGCUAUGCCUAGCAGCACCCUCUAGAAAAAAAUUAAAUGCAUUCAAAGAUCAGUCAUCCUCUUAAAUGACAGGAACAGGGAUGUGAGGCAAACUGGAUAAGAUGGUCCAAGUGUUUCUUUCUUCCUGGCUUCCAGGCGUACCCUUGGCUGCUAGAUGGAAUGAGGCGUGGGAUAGAGCUAUGGUCUUAAGGGAAAACUAGACGUCUCUGGCUUGGUCUAGUCAUUUCAUCUGUCCAGCCUGGCCUUGGCAGAAGCUGUCUCAGUAUUUGUUUUACAGGCUGAUUUGAGCAAUUGAGUUU